rnacentral:tRNA from 1 species
GGGGAUGUGGUGAAAUUGGUAGACACGCAGCGUUCAGAGCGCUGUAGACGCAAGUCUGUGAGAGUUCAAAUCUCUCCAUCCCCA